rnacentral:rRNA from 1 species
GGUUAAGUGACUAAGCGUACACGGUGGAUGCCUUGGCAGUCAGAGGCGAUGAAAGACGUAGUAACUUGCGAUAAGCCCAGAUUAGGUAGUAACAACCAUUUGAGUCUGGGAUUUCUGAAUGGGGAAACCCACGUGCAUAAGCACGUAUCCUUACCUGAAUACAUAGGGUAAGGAGGCGAACCGGGGGAACUGAAACAUCUAAGUACCCCGAGGAAAAGAAAUCAACCGAGAUUCCGAAAGUAGCGGCGAGCGAAAUUGGACUAGCCCUUAAGCUUUACACGCGUUAGACGAACGGUCUGGAAAGUCCGACGAUACAGGGUGAUAGUCCCGUAGUUGACGACGUGUGUUCAGUGAAAUCGAGUAGGGCGGGACACGUGAUAUCCUGUCUGAAUAUGGGGGGACCAUCCUCCAAGGCUAAAUACUACUGACUGACCGAUAGUGAACCAGUACCGUGAGGGAAAGGCGAAAAGAACCCCUGUGAGGGGAGUGAAAUAGAACCUGAAACCGUGUACGUACAAGCAGUAGGAGCAGGCUUGUCCUGUGACUGCGUACCUUUUGUAUAAUGGGUCAGCGACUUAUAUUCAGUGGCAAGGUUAACCAUCUAGGGGAGCCGUAGGGAAACCGAGUCUUAACUGGGCGUUCAGUCUCUGGAUAUAGACCCGAAACCAGGUGAUCUAGCCAUGGGCAGGUUGAAGGUUGAGUAACAUCAACUGGAGGACCGAACCGACUAAUGUUGAAAAAUUAGCGGAUGACUUGUGGCUAGGGGUGAAAGGCCAAUCAAACCUGGAGAUAGCUGGUUCUCCCCGAAAGCUAUUUAGGUAGCGCCUCGGACGAAUACUACUGGGGGUAGAGCACUGUUAAGGCUAGGGGGUCAUCCCGACUUACCAACCCUUUGCAAACUCCGAAUACCAGUAAGUACUAUCCGGGAGACACACGGCGGGUGCUAACGUCCGUCGUGGAGAGGGAAACAACCCAGACCGCCAGCUAAGGUCCCAAAUUACUACUAAGUGGGAAACGAUGUGGGAAGGCUCAGACAGCCAGGAUGUUGGCUUAGAAGCAGCCAUCAUUUAAAGAAAGCGUAAUAGCUCACUGGUCGAGUCGGCCUGCGCGGAAGAUGUAACGGGGCUAAGUAGUAAACCGAAGCUGCGGCAAUAUACUUUUGUAUAUUGGGUAGGGGAGCGUUCUGUAAGCGGUUGAAGGUGUGUGGUAACGCAUGCUGGACGUAUCAGAAGUGCGAAUGCUGACAUGAGUAACGAUAAAGGGGGUGAAAAACCUCCUCGCCGGAAGACCAAGGGUUCCUGUCCAACGUUAAUCGGGGCAGGGUAAGUCGACCCCUAAGGCGAGGCCGAAAGGCGUAGUCGAUGGGAAACGGGUUAAUAUUCCCGUACUUCUUACAAUUGCGAUGGGGGGACGGAGAAGGCUAGGUGGGCCUGGCGACGGUUGUCCAGGUUCAAGUGCGUAGGCUUGAGAGUUAGGUAAAUCCGGCUCUCUUUAAGGCUGAGACACGACGUCGAGCAUCUACGGAUGUGAAGUCAUUGAUGCCAUGCUUCCAGGAAAAGCCUCUAAGCUUCAGAUUGUAAGGAAUCGUACCCCAAACCGACACAGGUGGUCGGGUAGAGAAUACCAAGGCGCUUGAGAGAACUCGGGUGAAGGAACUAGGCAAAAUGGUACCGUAACUUCGGGAGAAGGUACGCUCUUGAUGGUGAAGUCCCUUGCGGAUGGAGCUGACGAGAGUCGCAGAUACCAGGUGGCUGCAACUGUUUAUUAAAAACACAGCACUGUGCAAAAUCGUAAGAUGACGUAUACGGUGUGACGCCUGCCCGGUGCCGGAAGGUUAAUUGAUGGGGUUAGACUUCGGUCGAAGCUCUUGAUCGAAGCCCCGGUAAACGGCGGCCGUAACUAUAACGGUCCUAAGGUAGCGAAAUUCCUUGUCGGGUAAGUUCCGACCUGCACGAAUGGCGUAAUGAUGGCCACGCUGUCUCCACCCGAGACUCAGUGAAAUUGAAAUCGCUGUGAAGAUGCAGUGUACCCGCGGCUAGACGGAAAGACCCCGUGAACCUUUACUACAGCUUGGCACUGAACAUUGACCCUACAUGUGUAGGAUAGGUGGGAGGCUUUGAAGCACGUACGCCAGUAUGUGUGGAGCCGUCCUUGAAAUACCACCCUUGUAGUGUUGAUGUUCUAACGUCGACCCCUAAUCGGGGUUGCGGACAGUGCCUGGUGGGUAGUUUGACUGGGGCGGUCUCCUCCCAAAGAGUAACGGAGGAGCACGAAGGUGGGCUAAUCACGGUUGGACAUCGUGAGGUUAGUGCAAUGGCAUAAGCCCGCUUGACUGCGAGAAUGACAAUUCGAGCAGGUGCGAAAGCAGGUCAUAGUGAUCCGGUGGUUCUGAAUGGAAGGGCCAUCGCUCAACGGAUAAAAGGUACUCCGGGGAUAACAGGCUGAUACCGCCCAAGAGUUCAUAUCGACGGCGGUGUUUGGCACCUCGAUGUCGGCUCAUCACAUCCUGGGGCUGAAGUCGGUCCCAAGGGUAUGGCUGUUCGCCAUUUAAAGUGGUACGCGAGCUGGGUUUAGAACGUCGUGAGACAGUUCGGUCCCUAUCUGCCGUGGGCGUUGGAAGAUUGAAGGGGGCUGCUCCUAGUACGAGAGGACCGGAGUGGACGAACCUCUGGUGUUCGGGUUGUGUCGCCAGACGCAUUGCCCGGUAGCUAAGUUCGGAAUCGAUAACCGCUGAAAGCAUCUAAGCGGGAAGCGAGCCCUGAGAUGAGUCUUCCCUGAUACUUUAAGUAUCCUAAAGGGUUGUCGGAGACUACGACGUUGAUAGGUCAGGUGUGUAAGUGCUGUGAGGCAUUGAGCUAACUGAUACUAAUUGCCCGUGAGGCUUAACCAU